AGAAGAGCUGGGAAUGGAGGACUGAAGUUGAGCCUGGGAGUAAGGAGGGGAGUGGGGAGAUGGGGUUUCUAGUUUUGCCUUUGAUUCUCACCAUUCUGCUCUAAUUAAGUAAUCAAUAUGUUGGAUUAAUCUUCAAGUCAAGUCUGUUUGGCUCAUGCUGGUAAACUGCAUUGAAAGUUUGUAUAGCUCCUCUUCUCUUUCUCAUCUUCGCUUCAAACAGAAGAACAAAAAGCUGAGAGCAAUAAACUAAAGAGCUGAAAAAAUCUAGUGUAAAGAAGUAAUUCAAAGAACAAGGAAGAAAGAAAUACGAGAGGAGGAAGGGAACAAAGAGAGGACAAAGGAAGCAGAACAAGGGAAAGAAGUGUCCUAUCAUUCUAUAGGUAGUAUUGUGUGUCUACAUGUAAACCAGGUUGUUGGUGACUAACACAAUAGACUGUUCCUAGCAUGCUGAAAUUGUCACUUGACCACUUCAUUGUCCCUUAUGUUUUGCUUUCUCUGGUCCUAUUUUUUUCUUUCUUCCUUUUUCUUUCUGUCUAUAAUUCCUAUUUCCUGUCUACCAUCGUAAUAUUUAAAAGCCUCUGUCUACCCUUUGCUACCAAUUGCUAUUGUUUUUGCCUCACUACAGCUAAGCUCAUUGAGUUGCUUUGGAAAGAGCUCAAACUCCUAUCCAAACCUCUGGAGGAGGCACAACAAAGCAGAAAGAAACUGCAGCCAGCGAUGCUGAUUUUCUAUGUCAUGCUGGUGUCCCAUGGCCCUUGUGAAGUUUGGCUCCCUGUUGUACUAUUCUUCCAGAAGCAGAGAAGUAGAAACAAUCUCUGUGCCAAAGAGCUUGCAAAGGUAAGUACUUUGAAAGGAACCUGUUAAUAUUUCUGUGAUGUCUAAUCAACAGCUGGACUUCUAACAGUAUAGAUGUACCAUACAGAAAGUUGCACGUGGACUUCAAAACUCACAUUGUUCUAAAUGUCAUGAGAAUUUCACGAGAAAUGAAAAAAAACCAGCAAUGAGCGGAGUCAUUGCAAAGGUAUUUAGACACUGUGCACAAGGCAAGAGGCCAUCUUACUACCUUUAGGAGAGUUUGAAGAUUUGGUUGUGUCUUGGCCAGUGCCAAG
ensembl:lncRNA